CUUUACGCUGGCGGCGCACAUAAGACAUGCAAGUCGAACGGACCUUGUUAUGAUGAUUUCAACACUGACAGAGAACUUGUUCAAAGAAAGUAGAGAUUGACUUAUAACAAUGGCUUUAGUGGCGGACUGGUGAGUUACACGUGAGCAACCUGCCUAUCAGAGGGGAAUAACAGUGAGAAAUCAUUGCUAAUACCGCAUAUGCCAUAAAUAUCACAUGAUAAAAGUGGGAAAGGAGUAAUCCGAUGAUAGAUGGGCUCGCGUCUGAUUAGAUAGUUGGUGGGGUAACGGCCUACCAAGUCGACGAUCAGUAGCCGGACUGAGAGGUUGAACGGCCACAUUGGGACUGAGAUACGGCCCAGACUCCUACGGGAGGCAGCAGUCGGGAAUAUUGCGCAAUGGAGGAAACUCUGACGCAGUGACGCCGCGUAUAGGAAGAAGGUUUUCGGAUUGUAAACUAUUGUCGUUAGGGAAGAUACAAGACAGUACCUAAGGAGGAAGCUCCGGCUAACUACGUGCCAGCAGCCGCGGUAAUACGUAGGGAGCAAGCGUUAUCCGGAUUUAUUGGGUGUAAAGGGUGCGUAGACGGGAAAGCAAGUUAGUUGUGAAAUCCCUCGGCUUAACUGAGGAACUGCAACUAAAACUACUUUUCUUGAGUGUUGGAGAGGAAAGUGGAAUUCCUAGUGUAGCGGUGAAAUGCGUAGAUAUUAGGAGGAACACCGGUGGCGAAGGCGACUUUCUGGACAAUAACUGACGUUGAGGCACGAAAGUGUGGGGAGCAAACAGGAUUAGAUACCCUGGUAGUCCACACCGUAAACGAUGGAUACUAGGUGUAGGGAACAUUAAGUUUUCUGUGCCGUCGCAAACGCAAUAAGUAUCCCACCUGGGGAGUACGGCCGCAAGGUUGCAACUCAAAUGAAUUGACGG
rnacentral:rRNA from 1 species